rnacentral:lncRNA from 1 species
GCAUAGUUUACAUGGUGAUAUAAAGAGGCUAAAGACAUUGUUGGCAGAGGGGCGUGUGUUCUGUGAUUUGCCUGCAUUAGCAGCUAGAGACAGCAUUCUGAUAAGGGAUACCAAACUUGAGAAUUCACUGAUCUGCCAACCUCAACAAAGGAAUCUCCAUGGUCGUAUUUUUGGCGGGUUUCUGAUGAACCUAGCAUUUGAACUUGCAUUUUCGACUGCUUAUGCAUUUGUUGGGCAGAUGCCAUGCUUUCUUGAAGUGGAUCAUGUUGAUUUCUUAAAACCUGUGAGUAGCAAGUCUUACAUCUUUACUGAAUCUGAUAUUUUUUCUUUGUGUACGUUAUCAAACUUUUUUCCCUUUCACUUCAACAUAACCAAGGAACAUCUCACUCACGAUGGAUGUAUACAGUGAAUCUUAUACCUGUUAUCUGUCUAAUAUUUGAGCACUCGACACUAGCUGUAUGUGUAUGCAUGACACUAUAUGUAUACAUAGAUCAAAAUUUUGCUACACUGGAAAUGACAUGUUCAUAGCAUAAUCAUUUAUUACACUUACUCAGGUUGACGUGGGGGACUUCCUUCGACUUAAAUCUUGUGUUCUUUAUACACAACUAGAGAACCCAGCACAGCCUCUGAUCAACGUUGAAGUUGUUGCUCAUGUAACGAGACCUGAGCUUCGAACCAGUGAGGUAAGACAAUCGAAGAAGCAUGUGAUUUGUAGUAUUCAAUUGCAACUUGAAUUCAUGAGUAGCGUCACCUUGUCUGUGUGCCUGAUGCAGAUAUCAAACAUGUUCUACUUCACUUUUACUGUAAAUCCUGAUGCCCUAAAGAAUGGACUAAAGAUUCGCAAUGUAGUUCCUGCCACAGAAGAAGAAGCCCGUCGUGUACUUGAGCGAAUGGAUGCGGAGGAAAUAUUUGCUUAACUAUAUACAUAGGCAUGUGCCAUUUGAAUGGCCAGACUGUCUUCUGCCAGUUCACAUCCAUAUAAUUUAUGCAAUAAGAUUGAACACCAUUUAGGAAUGUCACUGUCUUUACAUAAUUCGACAGCAACUUAUAAGGCUUUGUUACGUAUAAACAUUUUUGCCGCAACUUUUUUCCGAAUAAAAUUUGUAAAAGCAAGGAAGUAGUUUCUGAAAUCAAGUUUAAUUACCCCUUGUUUCCUGUUGGCAAACUUGUUUGCUGUGACCUAUGGGAUGCAAGAUUCAAGGAAAAUUAAUCGCCUCAUUCUCAGUAUUAUUUAUCAAUGUAUUUGGUGUUGUUUAUUGUUCUUUGUGUGUCAUGAUUCUUCUUUUAGUGUUUUGUAAAUGAGAAAUCUAUCAAUUAGGAGAUCUGCAGCUGCUGCUUCUGCUGCCAAUUAGAGGGGGUAUGACUCCUAUUUUCAGCAUUGGUGAGAAUCUCUGCUGCUAUGUAGCCUACCAGAUGCUCUAGUCUUAACUGAUAGUUAACAGAUAUCAUGUCACCCCAUAAAAAUAUUCACAGUAUAUCAUUCAAGAUCAUGUAAAAGACUAAUAAAUAAACUUAGUAAAUCUGGAUGUUAUUGAAGUUAAUCAUCAUAUUUCACCUGUCUGAAGCUAUAAAAAAGUUCUACAUCUCAUUCACUGCAGAAUUGUAGAUGCAUAAUUAUAGUAACAUCUUAUUUAAAAUCCUUAAGGGACAAAGUGUUAGGAUUCAAUAAGAAUACAUACAAUGAAUCUAUUUGCACAUUAAUUUCUGUUAGUACUGUGUGUAUACCUCAUUAAAAGUAAGCUCUGAAGAACAGAUUCUCAAAACUCAGUGAAGCCACUCUUUAUUUUUCUAGAUACAGAUCGGAGCAAAAUAGUUUUGUAUCAAAACGUCAACCCCUUGAGCGGAGAAAUAUAAUAUCUUGAUUUAGUCUGAAAUGUGGGUAAAGAAUUAGACUGAUUCAUCGGUGCAUUACUGUUAGCAUGAGUUUAAACAUUUUACACCAAUAAUCUAAAAAUAAAUUAAUAAUCAUUAUUAUUGUAAUUGAAUCAAGUUGCUAAUUAAGCAAACAAGAUGAGCUAACAAUGGCUUGGCAGGAUGUUCUAAGCUUCCAAUUAGAAUGGCAAUGGUUUGGUUUAGCCAAAUAGUAAACAAAUGGAAAAGGUUAAUCUUCUUCAAACAAAGUCAAAGUCAAAGUCCAACUAAGUGGGUGUGUUUAAAUUAUUAUUUUUAUCAAUUUUAAAGACCUCAACAAAUUUAAUUGAUCAAUGUUUUAACAUGAAUUUCAUCUUUAUCAUUUAUUCUUUAUAAAUAAUAAUAAAAAUUUUUAACUUGAUGAAUCAUAUCGUGAAGAUUCUUUUAAGGUAAAUUAAUUGAUCAAAUGAAACCAUACAUAAUGAAAGCAAAUAUAUGUUAAUGGUGAAAGCAUAAUGUUGGCAAAUCUUAAAUGUUUGAAUGGAGCAAGUAAUAAAUUAAAAGCUAAUUUGGCCAAUAAUCAUAAAACUACAACAUUUGGGUGUUGCAAUCUUCUUCGCCAACCAACCAUUACUUGUCCUAACUUUGCUCAAUGGUUGGUUCCACAGUUGUCUCCUAUUCCUCCCACUGCACGAUGUAACCUUCCCUCUCACCUCCUCAUCUCUCUCACCACAGUUUUCUUCACCCAAAGCAAACCCUCAGCCUCACAUCACUCUCACUUUCCAUCUUCAACUCAACAUCCUCCGAAUCCCUCACCCAUUCUUCCAUUAUCCCCAUCCAAAGUCUUCCCCAAAUCCCCCUUUUCACCCCCAAUUCUUCACCAAGAUCGGAUCUUUCUGCCCCCAAACCGCUCUGUUCUUCCUCCCAAUCCGAAUUCUUGUCUGCGACAAUUGAUCCCGAGAUGGCGUCUUUUCAAUCCGAAUGCAGCGAGACCAGCUCGAGCUCUUGAAAGAUCGAAUCUUUUCGAUCCGAAAUCGCCCCGUUCCACCUCUCAAAUCAGGUUCAUGUCGUCUUCUGCUGCCGGAAAACCGCCUCAAGGAUCGUCUCCCGCCGCCAUUAGUCCAGAUUCGCCUUCGCCGAUCCAAGUCGUUUCGACGUUCGCAUUGCCGUUCGAUGAGUCUCCCGCCUCACAUCGAUGCGAGCUCGUCGAUCAGGAAGCCGCUUAGCUUGUGGUCGGGACUGUACCAUUCCCCGGUGACCAAUGCUCUCUGGGAGGCGCGUUCCGAGGACGGGGCGCAGUCGGAGUUGCUCACGAGGCCACCACCAUAGAGCAGGACGAGCAUCAUCUUCAACUUUUCGAGUGAUUACAUCCUACGGGAGCAGUACCGGGAUCCCUAAAACGACGUCAGGAUUGGGAAGUUGCUUGAGGAUCUCGAUGCGCUUGCUGGCGCCAUUGCUGUGAAGGUAGCCACUAGACUCGAGUCUAUAUCAACUAUAACAUCUGGUUAUCUCUAUAGUUGAAAUGAAGCUUGACAUCGAUAAGAAGAAAGAGAGGUGUAUUGAUUGACCCAUCUAUGUUUCACUUAAGGUUUGAGUACUUUGUCAUCAGCAGACUAGCUAUUAUGAGUCUAUAUGGAUAAAAUGGAUAAAUAAACCAAAGACAAUUUUUUAUAAUUGUUAACUGGCAGCCGAAAUCAUUAUGGAUUCAGUUUCUUUGUGUGCGUAGAAACCAGAAAUCCUCCAAUCCUUUUUGGCUUUCAACUUGCAAGUAAAUGAAGUUACACAAAACACUUAGAAAUACAUUAUAAUGUCAUAAUAUUAAACUAACACUUGUCAGAGUUGCUAGUUAUAGAGAUUGAUGUAUAAUUGGAUCCCUUUAAGCAUGAUGGAUUUUGUAUAGUAAAGAAAGACAAUUUACAGCAUCAUUUGCUGUAAUCUUGGUGUGGUUGAGGAAACUUUAUGGAAAAUAAUAUUGGCUUCUUGUGUGGAAAUCAUAACUUAAUAUGGUUUGGUGGACAAAAUAUUUUCUUUAGAACAAUGAACCAAAUGAAAGAAAAGGAGGUAAUAACCUUCAAGCGACCAAGACAUCCGAUAGCAAAUAACCAAUUAGUAUCUUUUUAAAAAAAAUUUAAAUGUACAAGUUACUUUCUGAUCAUCCUAAUCAAGAAUGUUUAAUUAAACUGGUAAGGAGGUUGGUUUCAUCAAAGUGAACUAUAGAUGAUUGAAUCAUAACAAUUAUUGUUGUAAUUGAAUCAAGUUGCUAAUCAAACAAUGAUGAGCCAACAAUGCCCUAACAGACAUCUUAGCCGAAGAGCAAACAGAUAGAAACAUACUCGAUCUUGGAAAAUGGUUGUAGGUCAAUAUUCUUAAAAUAAAGUCAAAGUCCAAGUAGGUGGGUGUGUUCAAAUUAUUGUUUUAUCCAAGGUCUUCAAUUUUGAAUAAUACCGCCCAGUAUGGGCGGCACAUACCGGUCCGUCAACAGACCGGUAGACGGACCGCCCGGUAAUAUAUAUAUAUAUAUAUAUAUAUAUAUAUAUAUAUAUAUAUAUAUAUAUAUAUAUAUAUAUAAUUUAUAUAUUUAUUUAUAUUUAUGUAUUUAUUUAUUUAUUUAUUUAUUUAUUUAUAAAAGGCGACAUCGCNNNNNNNNNNNNNNNNNNNNNNNNNNNNNNNNNNNNNNNNNNNNNNNNNNNNNNNNNNNNNNNNNNNNNNNNNNNNNNNNNNNNNNNNNNNNNNNNNNNNNNNNNNNNNNNNNNNNNNNNNNNNNNNNNNNNNNNNNNNNNNNNNNNNNNNNNNNNNNNNNNNNNNNNNNNNNNNNNNNNNNNNNNNNNNNNNNNNNNNNNNNNNNNNNNNNNNNNNNNNNNNNNNGUAGCCUUUUAUAAAAAUAUUUAUAUAUAAAAAAUCUUUUAUAUAUAAAUAUAUAUAUAAGAUUUUGGCAACGUCGCCUCGUUUUUCUACGAUGUCGCCCCGUGGGGAGAAGAGAGAGGCGACGUCGCCGAAUUUUUUUUUUAUUUUAUAAAAAUAUUUAUAUAUAAAAAAAUCUUUUAUAUAUAAAUAUAUAUAUAUUUAUGGAUAAAUAUUUAUAUAUAAAUAUAUAUAUAUAAGAUUUUGGCGAUGUCGCCAUAUUUUUCUGCGACGUCGCCCCGAGGGGAGAAGAGAGAGGCGACGUCGCCCCAUUGAUAUAAAGGUAGCCAGUAGACUGAGUCUAUAUGUUCCUCUAGUUAGGCAUGUAGUUGAAAUGAAGCUUGGCAUCAAUAAGAAGAACGAGAGGUGUAUUCAUUUUCCCAUCUAAGUUUCACAUAAGCUUUGGGUACCUUGUCAUUGGCAGACUAAUUUGUUCUUGGUGCUUUGAAGCUAUUAUGAUGUUUAGAAGAUGGAUAAAUAAACUAAAAAACAAACUUUCAUAUUGGAACCUAUUGAUCUGUUCAUUGGCAGGUCAAAUGAUGUAAACUCAGUUUCUUUUUGUGAGUAAAAACCACAGAUCCUGUCAUCUUGUUGCUUGCAACUUACAAGUAAAUGAAGUUACACAAAACACUUAGAAAUACUCUAUAAGUAGAACUUUGGUUGUUAACCCACUACAACCUGUCAUAAUAUUAAACUGAGAAUGUUGUAAACAUUUCUGGUUAUUGAAUUCUCAGCCUCAUGGUUCUCUUUCAGCAAAAUGGAAUUUUUAAAGAAACACAAUUUACAGCAUCACUUCCUGUAAACUGUGUGUGACUGGACAAACUAUACAGAAAACUAUAUGGCUCCUUGUGUGGAAUUCCAUAAUGCAUCACUUGGUUUAAAUUGAACUAGAUCCUUUUGCAAUUACAAAACUCUUCUAUUUGCUUUUUACUAUAAAAUUGUUAUAUUAUGAUUUACACUAUGCCAAAAUUUCUAGUCAUUAACAUAAACUUUUUGAUAAUUUCAUUUUAUCUGAAAUUUGGCAUUUAUAUGUAAGUUUUUGAAGUGCAUUUGUUGCAUGAGACCAGCAUUGUUCUGAUGAUGAUAGCACUACAAGGCCUCUCUUGUUGGUCACUGCUUCGGUAGAUAAGAUGGUUCUAAAGAGGCCAUUGCGUGUAGACACUGACCUAAGGAUAGCAGGUGCUGUCACAUGGGUUGGUCAUUCAUCCAUUGAGGUACAGAUUGAAGUUACUCAACAAGGUAUUUGUGAUGAUUCUAUCUGGUAAAUGGAGUGAAAAUAUUCAUUUAUACCUCUGGUUCAUAUAUUGGACAUUUAUAGGUCUCAUUGGUAUGACCACUAAUAAUCAUACAAGAAUAUAUAGGAAAGGACGCUCAUCACCAAUCGUAAUCAUGAACUUGUGACCCCUUUUUUCUUUGGAAAUCUGGAAGUUACUAACUCCAGCAAUUAUCUGUCCAUGAGUUCUCAUAUCCUUAUAAUGAUAGACCGAAUAGCUCACUGCUCAAUUCUAGUGCAGUCUCCAAGAUGGAAAAGAAUUCAUGAUCUCCUAUCUCAUGAGUACUUAUUUGCUUAAAUUUUGCUAUACGAAUUCAUGCAGGUGUCAAGCAUGUUUAGUGCAUUAAAUCACCCUGUUUUUUCUCUGGUGACUUUCGUUAUGGUGCACUGUAUUGUUACGGACAAACUUCUAAACAAGGUGUUUGAUGUAAUGCUUAUGUAUGUCCGUGUCUUUUGGCAUAUUCAUGCCUUGUACAGCAUGUAAAGGGGCGGCCGAAGGCUUAAUAGUCACAUUUUAGUUGGGUUGGUGGUCUCUUUAGGCUUGUAAAUAAAGGUUGUGUCAUGUAGACACGUGCGAGAGAUUUUCGGUCUGUAAUGGACCAUUUUACCCUUUGUUGUGCUACUGUUCAGAGCUUGUAAAGUAUGUUUGUAAUUUGCAUUGUCUAUGAAGUGUUUUUCGGAGAUGUUUGCUUGUGGAUUCCGAUUGAGAUGUUCUCUCUAGCCCGUUCUCUCUCUUGUUGGUCCUAAGGGACAAUGGGAGUCUUCGGGGAGGCUGACCUUUGCGGACGGACACGUAAGGGUGCCGCACGACUUAGGCAAAACCAGCUAAGUCUGUGACAGUAUGGCAGAUGACUCUCAAUCAUCAGAUCCACUGGCUUUGACAGUAAAUUUCACAUUCGUCGCAUGUGACUCUAGGACCGGAAAGUCAACUUCUGUAAACCGCCUGUUACCAGAAACUGAACAAGAAAAGUUGCUCUUUGAGGAAGGAGAAGAAAGGGAUAAAGUUCGGAAAGGGAAACCAGAGGAACAGAAAAGAACUUUUGAGAAUGGUGGGCAUAGUUUGCAUGGCGAUAUAAAGAGGCUAAAGAUGUUGUUGGCAGAGGGGUGUGUGUUUUGUGAUUUGCCUGCAUUAGCAGAUAGAGACAGCAUUCAAAUAAGGGAUACCGAACUUGAGAAGUCACUGAUCUGCCAACCUCAACAAAGGAAUUUCUAUGGUCGUAUUUUUGGGGGUUUUCUGAUGAACCUAGCAUUUGAACUUGCCUUUUCAACUGCAUAUGCAUUUGUUGGGCGGACGCCAUGCUUUCUUGAAGUGGA